UACGGAGGGUGCAAGCGUUAUCCGGAUUCACUGGGUUUAAAGGGCGCGUAGGCGGCCUGCUAAGUCGGACGUGAAAUCCCUCGGCUCAACCGAGGAACUGCGUCCGAUACUGGUGGGCUUGAAUCCGGGAGAGGGAUGUGGAAUUCCAGGUGUAGCGGUGAAAUGCGUAGAUAUCUGGAGGAACACCGGUGGCGAAGGUGGCAUCCUGGACCGGUAUUGACGCUGAGGCGCGAAAGCUAGGGGAGCAAACGGG
rnacentral:rRNA from 1 species